rnacentral:rRNA from 1 species
AUUGAACGCUGGCGGCAGGCCUAACACAUGCAAGUCGAGCGGAUGAAGGGAGCUUGCUCCUGGAUUCAGCGGCGGACGGGUGAGUAAUGCCUAGGAAUCUGCCUGGUAGUGGGGGAUAACGUCCGGAAACGGGCGCUAAUAACGCAUACGUCCUGAGGGAGAAAGUGGGGGAUCUUCGGACCUCACGCUAUCAGAUGAGCCUAGGUCGGAUUAGCUAGUUGGUGGGGUAAAGGCCUACCUAGGCGACGAUCCGUAGCUGGUCUGAGAGGAUGAUCAGUCACACUGGAACUGAGACACGGGCCAGACGCCUACGAGAGGCAGCAGUGGGGAAUAUUGGACAAUGGGCGAAAGCCUGAUCCAGCCAUGCCGCGUGUGUGAAGAAGGUCUUCGGAUUGUAAAGCACUUUAAGUUGGGAGGAAGGGCAGUAAGUUAAUACCUUGCUGUUUUGACGUUACCAACAGAAUAAGCACCGGCUAACUUCGUG